AAUAAAUAUGUGGGAGAAUUAAUUACCUUCGUUUGAUGCCCAGAUUCCGCGGAGACGAGAUCUGCUGCACCGGCCCAGCAAGACAACUAGUGCUCGUAUAAUUAUUAUUAUUACGACUAUUAUUAUUAUUGUUAAUCAUCUGAUGAUCCUCCACACCCUUGUUGAAACCUAUCCUCGGAGAACGAACCGCCGCAAUCUCCGCCGCCGAAGAAACGGUCCCCACCGCCUCGGACUUGU
rnacentral:lncRNA from 1 species